UCCUGGGACGACGCUGCGGUCGAGUGCGCGCUGCGUACCGCUACACAAGGCCACCGAAACACCAUCCGUGGAGCUGCAGGGGCGUGUACCACUCGCAGAGGGGUGGAGUACGCAGGACUGCUGUUGACGGAGUCUAGUCGGGUAGCGGAACUGAGAAAAGACGGUGAAGUAGAAUGACAAAGGGGAGGAGAGGGGGUAACAGAAGUGUAGGUGGGUGUAGGAGAAGGAGGGGUGUUUACAAUGCCAAGAGAAAACACAAGAAUUAGCAGGAAGGAUAAUAUCAGAAAAAGUCUUACUCGACACUGUUAUAAAAUCAUUAAACAGGGCAUUUAUUAAAUAAUACUUGCAAGCAAGAGCAAUAUUUGACAACAUAGACAGAGUCUUCAAGGCUUCUUAUGGUCUUCUCCAGCGCCAAAAUAUAUAGCUGAAAGAUAACAUGAUGAAACAGGGAAGGCUUUGUGCACGUGUCCAGCCUUGGGCGAGGCAUACAUCUCUGCACCACAAGACAUCGAGCGGUCAUCUGGACAUCGGACAUCUUAUCUCCGCUGAAAGCGUCGAACCUCGGGUAUUCACCUGGCCGAAGAGGUCGCCAGUUCCUUCCACGGAGAUCAACUGAGCACCUACCUACCCCUGUGUCGAGCCUUGGGUGUCACACAAUCAAGCUGCCCUGCCUGCCUGUCUGCCUCCUAGUCAUGCAGCGGGAAAAUCACCUUUCUGAGUGAUUACGGAUCGGUGCGCACGGACGCGUCAUCACGUGGCCGAUUCGACUUGUUUCCUUUUUUCAGCCACUCACACUUGUGUGACUUGUGUCUCCUGUUGCUUUUUUUGUCCUGCCUGAUAAAAUAAAUUCACCUGUUGGAUUAAGAGAAA